GGCAAGCCUUGGUGCCUAAGUAAAACCCUUCCUGUUGAACACAUGUGUUUGGACAGUGCUAGGGAGCAUUCAUACCUUGUGGAAUGAUCCUGUGAAGACCCUUUUCUUUCUCAAAUAUGCAAUAGAGAAGUGCAAACACUGUGAACAAAGCAUUUUUAACUGCAGGUUUUGGACACAGCUGUUUUUCUAUUUGACAGUAUUUCUUAGAUUCAAGCAAUCACCUUUCCUCCAGGUUGUUUUUUUUCUUUCCCUCCAUUAAAAGAAAAGUUAAAUGCAAACAUUAACACGUUUGUUGAAAGCAGUGAAGUAGACCAGAAUUGUGUGCUUUGUGCUAAUGUAUAUUUAUGUGUUUUAUUGAAGGUCACUCUGUGAGACUGCUGGGUCAGAAGAAGGAUAAUGGAAAGCGGUUGGGGGGAGCUCGAUUGGAUUUGCCAAAGAUUAGGAAGAAUCCACUGAUUGAAAUCAUUUCCAUCAAUACUGGGUGUCUCAAUGCUUGUGCCUACUGCAAAACUAAACAUGCCAGAGGAAAUUUGGCCAGUUAUCCCAUUGAUGAGCUAGUGGAUAGAGCCAAACAGUCUUUCCAAGCUAAUCAAUCAGUCUCAGCUGUAUAAGUGAUGGAGCGAACCUUUUGAAGUGUGCUGGGUGAGUGGUGUGGAAACAACACCUUUCGCUGCUGUCUCUGGAAUCAAAAUGUAGCAAUGAUGGAUGAGCUGUUUUUAUAGGUAUGCUUUUCUAGAUCUCAUUUGUGUUGUUACUGUUUUCCUCUCAUAAAUCUGAAAAGCCCCUGCAAGAUAACUGGCAUAACCAGUUAUGGAAAGGUGGAAUAAAUUAAGAUGAAAUAUUCAGAACAGGAAAAAAUGAUGUCCAGCGAUUUCAAUCUUAGUGUUGGAAUUUUUAAAAAUAUGAAUUUUGCUGUAUGUCAAGACUUGUAAAGAAUAUUAUCUGCUGAUUGUAAGAUUGAUUAUAAAAUUCAAGUGGAAGACAUUGCUUCCUACCCUUUUAGAUAGGAAAAGUGAAAAAUGUCUUAAAAUUAUUUCUUAUCCCUGCUCAGUUGUACAGUUUGCAUUAAGCUCCCAUUUGACUAUUCGUUCCCUUUAGUCAUGAUUAGUAUAUAAUGAUUUUGAUUCAAGAUAAAAAAGGGCCCAAUGAUUGCAUUCUGUUUACUUAUACAGCAGUUACAUUAAGUGUUUCUUAAUUCCUUUAUCCUUCCAUUUGUGGUGUGUUCAAAUAAAAUUGACAAAUACAUUUCUUUUUGGAUUAAUAAUAUUAAUGUACAUGUUUGUUAUACAUUGUCAACGUCCAAAAGGGAUUUUAGGCAACUUAUAUUAAAUGAUUAUAUGUAGUAGACCGUGAAAAUAAAAAGCUGUAUGAAAUGUUGUACUAUGUUUUGAGAGAGGGAAGAUAAUUUUAUCAUCUGGUGAAUCCUGGCCCUACAGAAGAAUGGGGAAAUGGUGUGAUUUACGUAAUUUUACAUGAGCAUGUGAAAGGAAGUACUGUAUAUAGUUUACCUUGCGAAAUCUACAUGUUUCUAGGGUAUAGACAGUCAGAAGAAUUAGUUUCAUACUUCCUUUCUGGAGACACAUUGAACAGCCCAAGCUCCCAUCAACUGGAAACUGGAUAAAGAAGAUGUGGGGUUUUUUUAUAAAAUGGAGUACUACUCAGCCAUCAAGAAUGAGAAACUAAGACAUUUAUAGCUAAAUGAAUGCAUAUUGAGGCCAUGCUUUUUAAGUGAAAUAAAUAUGUCACGUGUAAAUACCGAAUGAGUUCUCUAGUGUGAGAAAUUGAAAGUGUAAAUAAGGAUGAAAAUGACUAAAAUGAAUAAUUGAUAAUUUGAAAUAAGAAAAGGUCCAAAGAUUUGUGGAUAGUGGAAGGGAAAGGG
rnacentral:lncRNA from 1 species